GUAUGAUACUAAACCCCUAACGGGAAGGAUUGUGCCUGAUGUUCAUAUGAUGAAAUCAUAAUCUUUCAGUCAGUUUAAUUGAAGUCUGGAGCUGGCAUGUCAGUUAACUGCUAGUAGUCUGUUGUUGUUUGUGUAUUAUUGUCAUUUUGUUUAUUUUCUUUGGUUACAUCUUCUGACAUCAGACUCGGACUUCUCUUGAACUGAAUUUUAAUGUGCGUAUUGUUAUGCGUUUACUUUUCUACAUUGGCUAGAGGUAUAGGGGGAGGGUUGAGAUCUCACAAACAUGUUUAACCCCGCCUCAUUUUUGCGCCUGUCCCAAGUCAGGAGCCUCUGGCCUUUGUUAGUCUUGUAUUAUUUUAAUUUUAGUUUCUUGUGUACAAUUUGGAAAUUAGUAUGGCGUUCAUUAUCACUGAACUAGUAUAUAUUUGUUUAGGGGCCAGUUGAAGGACGCCUCUGGGUGCGGGAAUUUCUCGCUACAUUGAAGACCUGUUGGUGACCUUCUGCUGUUGUUUUUUUCUAUGGUCGGGUUGUUGUCUUUUUGGCACAUUCCCCAUUUCCAUUCUCAAUUUUAUAAUA
rnacentral:lncRNA from 1 species